GCCUCCUUAGCUCAGUUGGUCCAGAGCGGCUGUCUUGUAAACAGCAGGUCGUCGGUUCGAAUCCGACAGGGGGCUCAA
rnacentral:tRNA from 2 species